rnacentral:misc_RNA from 1 species
UAUCCGUAGGUGAACCUGCGGAAGGAUCAUUACAGAGUUCAUGCCCUAACGGGUAGAUCUCCCACCCUUGAAUAUUUAUACCUUAGUUGCUUUGGCAGGCCGUGGUAACACCAUGGGCCCCGGCUUAUGCGUGCCUGCCAGAGGAAACAAACUCUGUUUUUAGUGAUGUCUGAGUACUAUAUAAUAAUUAAAACUUUCAACAACGGAUCUCUUGGUUCUG